rnacentral:rRNA from 1 species
UACGUAGGGGGCAAGCGUUGUCCGGAUUUAUUGGGCGUAAAGAGCGUGUAGGCGGCCAGACAGGUCCGUUGUGAAAACUCGAGGCUCAACCUCGAGACGCCGAUGGAAACCGUCUGGCUAGAGUCCGGAAGAGGAGAGUGGAAUUCCUGGUGUAGCGGUGAAAUGCGCAGAUAUCAGGAAGAACACCCGUGGCGAAGGCGGUUCUCUGGGACGGUACUGACGCUGAGACGCGAAAGCGUGGGGAGCGAACAGG